GCCCGGAUGGUGGAACUGGUAGACACGCUAUCUUGAGGGGGUAGUGGGAUCACUCUCGUGUGAGUUCAAAUCUCACUCCGGGCA
rnacentral:tRNA from 1 species